CUUCAGUGAUGAUACGAUGACGAGUCGGAGCAGGGCUCAGUCUGGUUCUGGUGGUUACUGGUUCAGAUUCACGUUCUGUGGUUCAGUUCCAGUCCCCCAGAGCAGGGAGUCCUCAGGUGAAGACAUCGAGGCAUUUGUCUGAGAAGG